UACGUAGGGUGCAAGCGUUGUCCGGAAUUAUUGGGCGUAAAGAGCUCGUAGGCGGUCUGUUGCGUCCGCUGUGAAAACUCGGGGCUUAACCCCGAGCCUGCAGUGGAUACGGGCAGACUAGAGGUAGGUAGGGGAGAAUGGAAUUCCCGGUGUAGUGGUGAUAUGCGUAGAUAUCGGGAGGAACACCAGUGGCGAAGGCGGCUCUCUGGGCCUUUCCUGACGCUGAGACGCGAAAGCGUGGGGAGCGAACCGG
rnacentral:rRNA from 1 species